AAAGAAAUAAACAGCAGGAAGCGGGAGGGAAAUGGUGUUGAAACCAGUGAUCAAUGCCAAAGCCUUGUUGCCUGUGGAGCGGGUGAUGUCUGACUUCCUCGUACUGCUGCAGUUUGUAUGGUGAAGGUGCUCCCACAACGUGGUUGGGUCUGCGACAAUGAGAGUACACAGACAGUAUGUUCCUGUUAAGGCCAAGGCUGGGAGGCGUCGAGAAUGCUGCAUGACCUGCGAAAUUGAGGCUCUG